GACGAACGCUGGCGGCGUGCUUAACACAUGCAAGUCGAACGAAGAGCGAUGGAAGCUUGCUUCUAUCAAUCUUAGUGGCGAACGGGUGAGUAACGCGUAAUCAACCUGCCCUUCAGAGGGGGACAACAGUUGGAAACGACUGCUAAUACCGCAUACGAUCUAAUCUCGGCAUCGAGGAAAGAUGAAAGGUGGCCUCUAUUUAUAAGCUAUCACUGAAGGAGGGGAUUGCGUCUGAUUAGCUAGUUGGAGGGGUAACGGCCCACCAAGGCGAUGAUCAGUAGCCGGUCUGGGAGGAUGGACGGCCACCUUGGGACUGAGACACGGCCCAGACUCCUACGGGAGGCAGCAGUGGGGAAUCUUCCGCAAUGGACGAAAGUCUGACGGAGCAACGCCGCGUGAGUGAUGACGGCCUUCGGGUUGUAAAGCUCUGUUAAUCGGGACGAAAGGCCUUCUUGCGAACAGUUAGAAGGAUUGACGGUACCGGAAUAGAAAGCCACGGCUAACUACGUG
rnacentral:rRNA from 1 species